rnacentral:rRNA from 1 species
AGCUAGUUGGUGAGGUAACGGCUCACCAAGGCUUAGACGGGUAGCUGGUCUGAGAGGAUGAUCAGCCACACUGGGACUGCGACACGGCCCAGACUCCUACGGGAGGCAGCAGUGGGGAAUAUUGGGCAAUGGGCGAAAGCCUGACCCAGCCACGCCGCGUGAGUGAUGAAGGCCUUCGGGUCGUAAAGCUCUGUGGGGAGGGACGAAUAAGUUGGCAGUUAACACCUGCCGGCCCUGACGGUACCUCCUUAGCAAGCACCGGCUAACCAUGUGCCAGCAGCCGCGGUAAUACAUGGGGUGCAAACGUUGCUCGGAAUUAUUGGGCGUAAAGCGCACGUAGGUGGUCUGUUAUGUCAGAUGUGAAAGCCCUCGGCUUAACUGAGGAAGUGCACCUGAAACUGGCAGGCUUGAGUACGAAAGAGGGUCGCGGAAUUCCCGGUGUAGAGGUGAAAUUCGUAGAUAUCGGGAGGAACACCGGUGGCGAAGGCGGCGACCUGGUUCGAUACUGACACUGAGGUGCGAAAGCGUGGGAGCAAACAGGAUUAGAUACCCUGGUAGUCCACGCCGUAAACGAUGAGUGCUAGAUGUUUCUGGUAUUGACCCCGGAGGUGUCGUAGCUAACGCGUUAAGCACUCC